rnacentral:rRNA from 1 species
UACGUAGGGGGCUAGCGUUGUCCGGAAUCAUUGGGCGUAAAGCGCGUGUAGGCGGUCCGGUAAGUCCGCUGUGAAAGUCGAGGGCUCAACCCUCGAAUGCCGGUGGAUACUGUCGGGCUAGAGUGCGGAAGAGGCGAGUGGAAUUCCUGGUGUAGCGGUGAAAUGCGCAGAUAUCAGGAGGAACACCAAUGGCGAAGGCAGCUCGCUGGGACGGUACUGACGCUGAGGCGCGAAAGCGUGGGGAGCAAACAGG